rnacentral:misc_RNA from 1 species
UUAUUUCUUGCAUUUGAUCCGAUUAACAACAUGUUUCUUGGAUCUUGCAAAAUUUUAAGGGAAAAAUCCCUUUGCUUUUGUGAAGUCCAAUAACCAUCUCUGCUUUCCAUUUCUCUUGAAUCAUAUAUAGACUUGGAAAGUUAUCAGCUUUUCUUGUUCUGAUAUAACAGAGCGGGUAGCUCACCAAGAUUGCCAUGUCAAUGGAACAAGGCACGUUCUGUUUGGGAAGUACGAGAUGGGGAAGCUAUUAGGCCAAGGGACCUUCGCCAAGGUCUAUAAAGGGAAAAACUUGGCUACCCAGGAGAGUGUUGCCAUUAAAGUCAUCCAUAAGGACCAUGUAAAGAAGAAAGGAUUAAUGGACCAAAUAAAGCGAGAGAUCUCUGUGAUGCAUCUCGUCAAGCACCCAAAUAUUGUCGAGUUGAAGGAGGUCAUGGCCACCAAAUCAAAGGUUUUCUUCGUCAUGGAAUUUGUGAGAGGCGGUGAGUUGUUUGCCAAAAUCGAGAAGGGAAAGCUCAUGGAAGAUUUGGCCAGAAAAUAUUUUCAACAAUUAAUUAGCGCGGUUGAUUAUUGCCAUAGCCGUGGAGUUUCUCACCGUGAUUUAAAGCCUGAGAAUCUUCUCUUGGACGAGAAUGGUGACUUGAAAGUCUCCGAUUUUGGCCUCUCCGCCCUUCCGGAGCAGCACUGGAACGAUGGGUUGCUACACACACAAUGUGGCACUCCGGCGUAUGUUGCCCCUGAGGUUUUGAGGAAGAAAGGGUACGAUGGUGCGAAGGCUGAUAUCUGGUCUUGUGGCGUUAUUCUUUUUGUUUUGCUUGCUGGGUACUUGCCAUUUCAAAACGCGAAUUUGAUGAAGAUGUAUGUGAAGAUUUUCAAGGCGGAGUACGAGUUCCCUCCCUGGAUUUCACCGGAUGCCCGGAGAUUGAUUUCCAAGCUUCUCGUUGUUGAUCCAGAGAGGAGAAUCGCAGUCCCUCAUAUAAGGCAAAAUCCCUGGUUUUGCAAGGGACUCACUAUACCCAUCACGCUUUGUAACGAUUCAGAAGAAAGCGAGAAGGGUCGCGAAGUUAUUGGUGAAGAAAUGAUUAAACUAUCAGAAACAAAUCAUUCUCCACCUUUCUAUAAUGCAUUUGAGUUCAUAUCAGCCAUGUCGUCCGGAUUUGAUCUGUCAAGCUUGUUCGAAAACAAGAAGAAAUCUGGUUCAAUGUUCACUUCAAAGUGUUCCGCGCCGGUGAUCCUAACAAAGUUGGAAUCAGCAGCGAAGGAGUUGAAUUUUAGAGUGGUGAGUGACUCAGAAUUUAAGGUGAAAUUGCAGGGGAAAGUGGAAGGAAGGAAAGGAAAACUGGCAGUGACAGCGGAGGUGUUCGAAGUAGCACCGGAAGUGGCGGUGGUUGAGUUCUCCAAGUCAUCCGGCGAUACUCUUGAGUACACCAAGUUUUGUGAAGCGGAUGUUAGGCCUGCCCUGAAAGACAUAGUUUGGAGUUGGCAAGGUGAAGGCAACUGCCACCAACUAGAAGGCCAUGUAGCUACAAGUUAGGUUUGGUUAAUUAUUAGCAAAAAAACAAAAUUAUAAAAUCAUCAAACCAGAAGUCUAAUAUUGUAGAUAGCAUUGUCCUAAACUUAAUAUACUUGUAUAUUCUUUUAACCCUUUUGGUUUUAGGCAAUGGGCUGAAUGUUCUGUAAUGUUAAAUAUCAUUGCAAAUGGUUUUGAUUGUGUAAAUGAGGGAUUUGUUGAAGGGGCAC